UACGGAGGAUCCGAGCGUUAUCCGGAUUUAUUGGGUUUAAAGGGUGCGUAGGCGGCCUAUUAAGUCAGGGGUGAAAGACGGUAGCUCAACUAUCGCAGUGCCCUUGAUACUGAAGAGCUUGAAUACACUAGAGGUAGGCGGAAUGUGACAAGUAGCGGUGAAAUGCAUAGAUAUGUCACAGAACACCAAUUGCGAAGGCAGCUUACUAUGGUGUCAUUGACGCUGAGGCACGAAAGCGUGGGGAUCAAACAGG
rnacentral:rRNA from 1 species